AUGUACCACGCGUUCACUGCGGUUCUGGCGUGCCUUCCGCGCCCAACUGACAGCCGCUCGCUCCGCUGCGGUAGCC
rnacentral:sRNA from 1 species